UCAUUCGGAUUCGCCAUCAUACGUCCAACCGUGCAUUUGAUAUGCAUAUAUAUGCAUCACGAGCCACGGUUGGGCUGUAUGAUNAUCACGAGCCACGGUUGGGCUGUAUGAUGGCGAUACCGAUUGG
rnacentral:pre_miRNA from 1 species